rnacentral:sRNA from 1 species
GCUGGGCAUGGUGGUGCAUGCCUGUAAUCCCAGCUACUUAGGAGGCUGAGGCAGGAGAAUCUCUUGAACCCGGGAGGCGGAGGUUGCAGUGAGCCGAGAUCGCGCCACUGCACUCCAGCCUGGGCAACAGAGUGAGACUCUGUCUCAA